CUUCAUAAUCCUAUGACGUUCGAUAGUAGCUACAUUGCGGGGAAGUUCUUCCGCACGACAUAUAGUUCUGAAAUUGCUAGGUAAUUUUGACACUGUAAAAGGUUAACAACCCGAAUUUAUGUCGGUUAAACAAAGAGGGUUAUUGAUGAUCCUGUUCCGGUGACGUCACAGACAGUAUAAGUCGGAGAUUUGUCUGUUAUUUAGUAAUGUCGCACAAGUAUUUGGAUAAAAGAAAUAACAGCGUCUAUACAUCCGGUUAGGAGAGGUUAUAAGUUAAAGUGUAACGCAGGGAAGUUGUAUAAAAGGUGACAAGAUGCACAAAGAAAAUGGAGAGGUGCCGGUGAAGAACGAAAAGACCAAUGUCAACCUGCAACCGGAUGCCGGUAAAGAGAAGAAAGUCGGAGAAUUAUAUAUUCCAACUCAAUUGCCAAAUAAAUUAGAUCCAUCUCGACCCUACACACCAUCAUCUGAUGCGGAUACUGAUCCGUGGGCUCUACCUGAAUUUCAAGAAACUGGAGUAUCGUGGGCAGGUAAGAGAUUAAUUUUUUUUCGUAUUUAAUUCUAAAAAAAACAGCGAGGGGACAAAAAGAAAAUUUCACUUUAAAUUAGACUUUUUUUUUUUAUUUGUUUUUUUAAUUCUUGUUGGUAUCGGCUUCGCCGUAAAGCGGUCCAGACCGGUUCAGAAGUUAAGGUUAAGGCGCAAACUCGAACAUUCGAAUCGUUCUCUAUAGUUUUAUGUAUUUUAUACUCGUUAGCGAAGCAUAAAAUUUAAAUUAAAUACAUGUAUUAAAGUAGAAGAGAUUGUGAAGUGACGAUUUGAGUGAAUUUAUUUUUAAUUGAAAUGCGCUUAAAUAUAUUUAAUUUAUUUAUUCGUUCUUGCCGAAUUUAGAAGCUUUAGACCUAGUUAUUAUUUUUAAUUAUCUUCAUAUAGCAUCGCCCUAUAUAAAGAUAUGUAUGAAAAUAUACGAAAUCCUAAAUUUAAGUUAAAAAGUAUAUAUAUAUAAGAAAUCGUCUUUAUUUACAUUUCUUUACGUAAACAGGUUAUGUAGGAUGUGUCUAGGAUUUCCAUAUAGCUCACCUUUUCUAUAAUUUAUUUCAAUAACGUGGCACAUCAAAUUUUUGCGUGUUGCAAUACUUUUUUCUUUGAAUAAUUUCCUUUUCGUUAGUUUAUUUGCUAAAGUUUUGGGAAUUUUUCCAAACGUUUUUUAUUUAUUUUUUUAUUUUUACAAUUAGUAAAUACCGAUGGCGUCAUUUUCGUGAAUUAAACAGGUUCAUUUAUCAAUAAGGGCGUUAUUUUUUUUAAAUGGAAGUGUGUCAUAAAAUUUAAAUUAGUAUUUAAAUGCUAUUGAAUUGGUUAUGGUCUGUCUGUGAGAAUAUACAUUUUUUUAAAAAAACCCUCGCUUUCUAGAUAAUGAUAAAAUAAUUUAACACAUUUUCGGAUCAUUUCACUUUUAAAACAAAAAUGACCUUGCAGUGUGUAUUUCUGUACGUUCAAUUAUUGAUCCCGAGAAAAAAUAAUAAAUUUAGAUACGUAACACGUGGAAAACAGCAUAUAAAAAAUGGGAAUAAUAAUUUGCGAUAUAUAAAAUAUCCACAGUAUAUAGAAAAGUCCGCGCUUAUAUAUAACAGCUUAAUUAAACAAUACAGGUUACAUACCUGAUAUAAAAUGUUUAUAUAACGUGCAAAAUUCCAGGACAUAUAACAUAGAUUAAAUAUUAGAAUAUAGGGAAACACUAAUAUAGAUUGUAUAUUAUAAACAUAUUUGGAAUACAAAACAUGACAAAUAUGUUUGGACUUGAAAAACAUAUGAAACAUACUUAAAACUAUAUACUGUAAUAUGACAAAGCCUGCAGAUACAAGAUCCCAUAUGACAACUGAA